UGGGAAAGGAACAUCUUGAAGGGGCCUGUGUCCCAGGAAAUGGGUCAAUUUAUUCCUGGUGAAAGGCUGACAGCCCGGGAGAUUGACAGCCUCUAUUUACAGAGAGCAGUCUAAAUGAAGUGCCAUCAACUGCUAGCACUGGGAUCCUGCUAGCAAGUUGUUCCUACCCCUCUUAAGCUGUCUGUUCCCAAUCAUCUUUCUGCCUAAACUCCAAAAUGUUCCGAUCACUGGAGAAACGCCUGGUCUCCCUAUCCCAGGGCUACCCUGCUGUGGAAGGAGGGUCUAGACUGGAAGAGCUAGACACGCUGAGGGAGGAAGAAUCGCAUACAGCGGAAGAGAAAUAUCGGAAAAGAGAGAGGGGCAGGAAAGCUCAUUGCUAUAGCAUCGGACAAUGAAAAGUGACACCCAUUAAGGGUCCAGUGCCAUUCCCGCUGGGCCCAAGCCUGAGAGGUACUGAGUGCUCACAAUUCCCAUUGGUUUCAGAAGGAGCAUCUGUGGAGGCUCAGUACCUUCACAGAAUGCUGGACCCAUCAGAAGGCAAUGGCAAAUCUCUCAUUGACUUGGAUGGGAACAACAGCAAGUCCAGAGCAAGCAGACUUUCAUCAUCGGCGUCCUGCCUGAUUUCAGCUGCUAGGAUAUUACAUAGAGAGAGAGGUGGAGUUUGUGGUUAGUUGAUAUGUAAACCCAUAUA